GAUGAACGCUGGCGGCGUGCCUAAUACAUGCAAGUCGAGCGAACAGACGAGGAGCUUGCUCCUCUGAUGUUAGCGGCGGACGGGUGAGUAACACGUGGAUAACCUACCUAUAAGACUGGUAUAACUUCGGGAAACCGGAGCUAAUACCGGAUAACAUGUUGAACCGCAUGGUUCAACAGUGAAAGACGGUCUUGCUGUCACUUAUAGAUGGAUCCGCGCCGCAUUAGCUAGUUGGUAAGGUAACGGCUUACCAAGGCAACGAUGCGUAGCCGACCUGAGAGGGUGGUCGGCCACACUGGAGCUGAGACACGGUCCAGACUCCUACGGGAGGCAGCAGUCGGGAAUCUUCGGCAAUGGGCGAAAGCCUGACGGAGCAACGCCGCGUGAGUGAAGAAGGUCUUCGGAUCGUAAAGCUCUGUCAUUAGGGAAGAACAGAUGUGUAAGUAAAUAUGCACGUCUUGACGGUACCUAAUCAGAAAGCCACGGCUAACUACGUG
rnacentral:rRNA from 1 species